rnacentral:tRNA from 1 species
UAACCCUACCCCCAGGGGAAGUCGAAUCCCCGCUGCCUCCUUGAAAGAGAGGAUGUCCU